rnacentral:rRNA from 1 species
AGUGAACGCUGGCGGUAGGCCUAACACAUGCAAGUCGAACGGCAGCACAGUAAGAGCUUGCUCUUACGGGUGGCGAGUGGCGGACGGGUGAGGAAUACAUCGGAAUCUACUUUUUCGUGGGGGAUAACGUAGGGAAACUUACGCUAAUACCGCAUACGACCUACGGGUGAAAGCAGGGGAUCUUCGGACCUUGCGCGAUUGAAUGAGCCGAUGUCGGAUUAGCUAGUGGGCGGGGGAAAGGCCCACCCAGGCGACGAUCCGGAGCUGGGCUGAGAGGAUGAGGGGCACCACAGGAACGGGGCCACGGUCCAGCCCCCUCCGGGAGGCAGCAGUGGGGAAUGUUAGACAAUGGGAGGGAGCCUGACCCAGCCAUACCGCGUGGGUUAAGAAGGCCCUGGCGUUGUAAAGCCAUUCUGUUGGGAAAGAAAAGAAGCAUGUUAAUACCACGCUGUUCUGACGGUACCCAAAGAAUAAGCACCGGCUAACUUCGUG